CCUACGGGGGACAGCAGUAGGGAAUAUUGCUCAAUGGGGGAAACCCUGAAGCAGCAACGCCGCGUGGAGGAUGAAGGUUUUCGGGUUGUAAACUCCUUUUGUUAGAGAAGAUAAUGACGGUAUCUAACGAAUAAGCACUGGCUAACGCCGUGCCAGCAGCCGCGGUAAUACGGCGGGUGAAAGCGUUACGCGGAACCACUGGGCGUAAAGAGCGCGUAGGCGGGAGAUCAAGUCAGAUGUGAAAUCCUAUGGCUUAACCAGAGAACUGCAUUUGAAACUGUUAUUCUAGAGUAUGGGAGAGGUAGGUGGAAUUCUUGGUGUAGGGGUAAAAUCCGUAGAGAUCAAGAGGAAUACUCAUUGCGAAGGCGACCUGCUAGAACAUAACUGACGCUGAUGCGCGAAAGCGUGGGGAGCAAACAGGAUUAGAUACCCUUGUAGUC
rnacentral:rRNA from 1 species